rnacentral:lncRNA from 1 species
GCACAACAAGACUAAUUUUGUCUGUCUAUAAAAUGUUUUCAUGGUAUACAAUUUCCUUGAUAUUUUGACAGACCAGACUUAUGUAUAUAUAAAUAUUUGUGGUUGCUAAGCUACCAAAUAUAUUUAUUUUAGACCUUGUAUAAUGUUAUUUUGAGGCAGAAUAUAUUGCUUUUUUAGACCUCAUAGUGAGAGAGGUUUACAGAUUAAUGUAUGCUUUUCUGUUGUUUCCAGUGCAAGUCUUUCUUGAAGUGCACAGAGAUCUUCCCAUUUUGUAUUUUCAUCUGAGUAUCUGGUUCCACUCUUCAGUUAGCAAAGGCCAGUCGAACAGAGUGCAGAUGGGCAGCAGUCAUGAAUCAUAGGAGCCCUGUAGUUUCUAUGAACUCAGAUGUUUUCAGGAUAUCAGCUGUGAAAAUCAUGCAUUCACAAGAAUUGAAGCUGUCUGGCAAUCCCUGGAGGUAAGCAAGGCUACAUUUUCAAGCAUGAGUAUGAACAGUGAUGAAAAAUGUGGGCAUUUGUGUACCAAGCAAAUGCAACUGCUGAAAAAUUUAUCCCAUCUCCAGGUUGGCUCUCAUAACAAUGUAGUAUGAAAAUAUCACUGGAAGUAUUCAUAAUGAAUAUUAAUAAAAAAAUAAAUCAAACUCCUGAAGAUUUAGAA